rnacentral:rRNA from 1 species
UACGUAGGUGGCAAGCGUUGUUCGGAAUUAUUGGGCGUAAAGGGCGCGUAGGCGGUUUGUUAAGUCAGCUGUGAAAGCCCGGGGCUCAACCCCGGAGGGUCAGCUGAUACUGGCAGGCUAGAGUACAGAAGAGGUAACUGGAAUUCCCGGUGUAGCGGUGAAAUGCGUUGAUAUUGGGAGGAACUCCGGUGGCGAAAGCGGCUCGCUGGGCCUCUUCUGACGCUGAGGCGCGAAAGCCAGGGGAGCAAACGGG